UAGGGAAGUCUUUCCACAAUGGGCGAAAGCCUGAUGGAGCAACGCCGCGUGUGUGAUGAAGGGUUUCGGCUCGUAAAACACUGUUGUAAGAGAAGAAUGACAUUGAGAGUAACUGUUCAAUGUGUGACGGUAUCUUACCAGAAAGGAACGGCCAAAUACGUGCCAG
rnacentral:rRNA from 1 species